ACACCGAUAGCGAACCAGUACCGUGAGGGAAAGGUGAAAAGAACCGCAGUGAGCGGAGUGAAAUAGAACCUGAAACCAUCUGCCUACAAUCAUUCAGAGCACCAUAGUGAGUCCCUCUGAGGAAUUGGGGGAGAGAAUUAUUCUUUUCUCUCCUGUUCUUUUGCUCAAAAUAUCUUAUCAAUGAUAAGGAGAGAGCAAUGGGAAGAGGGCAGCUAUCUAGUAACCCUAAUGGAGCAGGCUACCCAUCAAGCACAGGAAAACCUAGUGGCGGUGGUAGAGGCAAUAAUGCUCCAAGUAUAAGUAAUGGAAAAAGUGGUGGAAAAAAGUAAAGAAAUUGUUUAGGCUUGUCUUUUAAUGAGAAAUCCAGCAUUUGCAAUGUGUUUGUGCGGCAGCUAAUAAAGGCUAGUCUCCGCACAGAUUGUUGCAUAACAUGAAUUCUCAUCUAAAAUACUUCGCCUUUGGUUUUUCUAUUUGGCAAGCAGAUUCUAUGUGUUUUUAGAAUCUGCCCUUACAAAGCAGGAGUAACCAAACAUUCUAGGAUUGUGCCUUAAGGUUUGUGGGUUGUGCAAACAAAUCGAAGUGUAGCCUACUCGGUGUAGGUGAGCAAGAUUUUUCAAACUCCCGCAAAGAUUAUGCACAAAUCAAAUUUACCCUGAUUUUUCAGAGGGAUUCACUGGUGUGAUGGACUGCCUUUUGCAUAAUGAUCCUGCGAGUUGUGGUAUCUGGCAAGGUUAAGCCAACGCGAAGCCGUAGCGAAAGCGAGUCUGAAAGGGCGCAGCCA
rnacentral:rRNA from 1 species